rnacentral:rRNA from 1 species
UACGAAGGGGGCUAGCGUUGUUCGGAAUUACUGGGCGUAAAGCGCACGUAGGCGGAUACUUAAGUCAGGGGUGAAAUCCCGGGGCUCAACCCCGGAACUGCCUUUGAUACUGGGUAUCUCGAGUCCGGAAGAGGUGAGUGGAAUUCCGAGUGUAGAGGUGAAAUUCGUAGAUAUUCGCAAGAACACCAGUGGCGAAGGCGGCUCACUGGCCCGUUACUGACGCUGAGGCACGAAAGCGUGGGGAGCAAACAGG